CUUACUUGGCUGCUUCGCAUGCUGGCCGUCUAAGGAGGUUCUCGUGUAGGGAAGGAGUUAAAUGUGUGAAUAUGGAAAGACACGUGUACCAUGCGGGUUUGCACAGCAGCAAGCUGGCAGUGGCCGGAACUCCUAGAGAGGGAUUCAGUCAAUGGUUUUGAAUGGACGUGUGAGAGAGUUCUUUACAUAGCACACAUUGUUUAAACUAGGGCUGUGCUCCGCUUCUCUUCGGGUCGGAGAAGCAGAAGCGGAUCGGGGUGCUUUGCCUCCCCUUAAGCCGGAGGUGAAGAGGAUUGGGGGGGGGCAGCGGAGCGUCACAGAGUGGAUUGACAUGAAGGCGGAUCCUUCGCCUCGAUCCGGAGCUCUGAAAAAAAGAAACCUCCUCUCUCAAGGAGUAGGAGGAUGUACUGCAUGUUGCCUGCAUAAGCAGAAGACUUAUUCACAGCACAAUCCUAUCCAUGCUUGCUCACAAGUAAGUGGCUCUUCAGGAUCAGAUCCCUCUAAUCCAUGUGAGUACAAUCCCGUUUGGCCUGAAAUGGGAGACGUCACUCCGUGGGGUUUACACCUAGUGGCCUCCCAAAUGCAGAGUGAUAUUCUGCACAUCCUGGAACUGUUGCUUUCAUGCUUUGGCGUCCGGUUGACCACUGUUGGAGACAGCGUGCUAGGCUUGAUGGAUCUAGGCUUUGAUCCAGGAAGACCAUUCUUACAUUCUUUUUGUUUUGCAACCCAGGGAGGGUGUCUUAAAGCCAAAUUUCUGAAACAAUUUGAAUGGGAGCUUCUGUGGUGAUAACAACCCUGAACGCUGUUGGGAAUAUUGCAACUUUGUCUGCAAGUUAUUGGAAGGGCAGCCCGCCUACUAACAGGGACUGGCCGGCGAGAUCAUAUCACGGCGAGAUCAUAUCACGUCAGUCCUUCUACAACUUCAUUGGCUGCCAGUCCAGGUCCAGGCCUGAUUCAAAGUGCUGGUAUUGACAUUUAAAGCCCUGAACGGUUUGGGGCCAGGUUAUUUGAAGGAACGCCUCCUCCCAUAUGUGCCUGCCCGGACCUUAAGAUC